UACGUAGGUGGCGAGCGUUGUCCGGAUUUACUGGGCGUAAAGGGAGCGUAGGCGGACUUUUAAGUGAGAUGUGAAAUACCCGAGCUCAACUUGGGUGCUGCAUUUCAAACUGGAAGUCUAGAGUGCAGGAGAGGAAAAUGGAAUUCCUAGUGUAGCGGUGAAAUGCGUAGAGAUUAGGAAGAACACCAGUGGCGAAGGCGAUUCUCUGGACUGUAACUGACGCUGAGGCUCGAAAGCGUGGGGAGCAAACAGGAUUAGAUACCCG
rnacentral:rRNA from 1 species